AGCCGCCCGGGCAGGGAAGGAGCCAUGGCUUCCCGGAGCGCAGGAAUGAAGUGCGGUUUCUGGGGCUGGUGGCCUCUGGCUGCGGAGCCUGCCUGCAGGGAACCUGGCGACCCGCAGCGGCCGCGCUGGGGCUUCGGAGCCCGGUUUAGAGCUCUUGGAGGUGGCUGCGGUUUCUGUGCAUAACCUUGGAGGAGCCUCUGUGAGCCGAGAAAGACCAUCUUGCUUUGGAGCAUCUGUUUCUUCAUCGCGUCAACCCCUUUCCUAACACUGCAGAGCUUGUUGUGGCUUGUUUCGGGAAUGCCGAGGCCAGUGCUCACCCUUGCGGGUGGGAGAGGGGAAGAGAGUAGGCACCCCCAAAACCCCUGUAGUGUGAUUUCCAGAAGGCCAGACUGCCUGCAGCUCCACCGUCGCACCUUCACUGACUUGAAUGACCUUGGGAGAAGGAUUGCGCUGCUGAGCCCUUGGUGCCUUAUCUGUCGUUGGAGGAGAAAAUACUCUCUGGACCUCCCUGCCUUUUGGGGAUGUUUUGAGGGGUGGGGUUUGCUCAGGGUAUUUCUUUUACAGACGGCUGCAGUUCUGGCCUAAGGAGCUGGACUGGUGUCAGAGCCGGGAGAAUUCAGAUCACCUAAUAAGAUUUGACUACCUCAAAUUAGGGAGGGAGGGGUUUGGAUUUUAGGAGGACAUUUCUUUUUGGGGAAUCUGGAAGGUGUGUUCCAGAUUGCCUUCUGUCACCUUGUUUGCAACUUUGGUAGUAUUCAUGUGGUUAAAUUGAAUUACCCCCAUAGAAAAUUC
rnacentral:lncRNA from 1 species